rnacentral:rRNA from 1 species
AGUGAACGCUGGCGGCAGACCUAACACAUGCAAGUCGAACGGCAGCACAGUAAGAGCUUGCUCUUACGGGUGGCGAGUGGCGUACGGGUGAGGAAUACAUCGGAAUCUACUUUUUCGCGGGGGAUAACGUAGGGAAACUUACGCUAAUACCGCAUACGACCUACGGGUGAAAGCAGGGGAUCUUCGGACCUUGCGCGAUUGAAUGAGCCGAUGUCGGAUUAGCUAGUUGGCGGGGUAAAGGCCCACCAAGGCGACGAUCCGUAGCUGGUCUGAGAGGAUGAUCAGCCACACUGGAACUGAGACACGGUCCAGACUCCUACGGGAGGCAGCAGUGGGGAAUAUUGGACAAUGGGCGCAAGCCUGAUCCAGCCAUACCGCGUGGGUGAAGAAGGCCUUCGGGUUGUAAAGCCCUUUUGUUGGGAAAGAAAAGCAGCAGGUUAAUACCCCGCUGUUCUGACGGUACCCAAAGAAUAAGCACCGGCUAACUUCGUG